GACGAAACGCUGGCGGCGUGCGUAAUACAUGCAAGUCGAGCGGACUCGAAGGGAGCUUGGUCCUUUAGGUUAGCGGCGGACGGGUGAGUAACACGUGGGCAACCUUCCCUGCAGAAUGGGAUAACUUCGGGAAACCGGAACUAAUGCCGGAUAACACCGAAAACCGCCUGGUUUUCGGGUGAAAGGCGGCUUAUAGCUGUCACUGCAGGAUGGGCCCGCGGCGCAUUAGCUAGUUGGUGAGGUAACGGCUCACCAAGGCGACGAUGCGUAGCCGACCUGAGAGGGUGACCGGCCACACUGGGACUGAGACACGGCCCAGACUCCUACGGGAGGCAGCAGUAGGGAAUCUUCCGCAAUGGACGAAAGUCUGACGGAGCAACGCCGCGUGAGCGAAGAAGGUCUUCGGAUCGUAAAGCUCUGUUGUCAGGGAAGAACAAGUACCGUUCGAACAGGGCGGUACCUUGACGGUACCUGACGAGGAAGCCACGGCUAACUACGUGCCAGCAGCCGCGGUAAUACGUAGGUGGCAAGCGUUGUCCGGAAUUAUUGGGCGUAAAGCGCGCGCAGGCGGUUCCUUAAGUCUGAUGUGAAAUCUCGCGGCUCAACCGCGAGCGGCCAUUGGAAACUGGGGAACUUGAGUGCAGGAGAGGGGAGCGGAAUUCCACGUGUAGCGGUGAAAUGCGUAGAGAUGUGGAGGAACACCAGUGGCGAAGGCGGCUCUCUGGCCUGUAACUGACGCUAG
rnacentral:rRNA from 1 species